UGGGGAAUUUUGGACAAUGGGCGAAAGCCUGAUCCAGCAAUGCCGCGUGUGUGAAGAAGGCCUUCGGGUUGUGAAGCACUUUUGUCCGGAAAGAAAUCCUUGGCUCUAAUACAGUCGGGGGAUGACGGUACCGGAAGAAUAAGCACCGGCUAACUACGUGCCAGCAGCCGCGGUAAUACGUAGGGUGCAAGCGUUAAUCGGAAUUACUGGGCGUAAAGCGUGCGCAGGCGGUUUGCUAAGACCGAUGUGAAAUCCCCGGGCUCAACCUGGGAACUGCAUUGGUGACUGGCAGGCUAGAGUAUGGCAGAGGGGGGUAGAAUUCCACGUGUAGCAGUGAAAUGCGUAGAGAUGUGGAGGAAUACCGAUGGCGAAGGCAGCCCCCUGGGCAAUACUGACGCUCAUGCACGAAAGCGUGGGGAGCAAACAGGAUUAGAUACCCUGGUAGUCCACGCCCUAAACGAUGUCAACUAGUUGUUGGGGAUUCAUUUCCUUAGUAACGUAGCUAACGCGUGAAGUUGACCGCCUGGGGAGUACGGUCGCAAGAUUAAAACUCAAAUGAAUUGACGGGGUCAUAGCUGUUUCCU
rnacentral:rRNA from 1 species